AUGAACGCUAGCGACAGGCCUAACACAUGCAAGUCGAGGGGCGAGCACAAGGAGCAAUCUGAGGUGGCGACCGGCGCACGGGUGAGUAACACGUAUGCAACCUGCCUGUAAGCGGGGAAUAACCCGUUGAAAGACGGACUAAUACCGCAUAAUACUAAAUUACUGCAUGGUAAUUUAUUUAAACAUUUAUGGCUUACAGAUGGGCAUGCGCAUGAUUAGCUAGUUGGAGAGGUAACGGCUCCCCAAGGCAACGAUCAUUAGGGGUUCUGAGAGGAAGGUCCCCCCACACUGGUACUGAGACACGGACCAGACUCCUACGGGAGGCAGCAGUGAGGAAUAUUGGUCAAUGGACGAGAGUCUGAACCAGCCAAGUCGCGUGCAGGAAGAAUUGUCCUAUGGAUUGUAAACUGCUUUUGCAGGGGAAUAAAGUGCAUCACGUGUGAUGUUUUGUAUGUACUCUGCGAAUAAGGAUCGGCUAACUCCGUGCCAGCCGCGGC
rnacentral:rRNA from 1 species